rnacentral:rRNA from 1 species
GGCCGUAAACCCAAGGUUUCCAGGGGAAGGUUCGUCCGCCCUGGGUUAGUCGGGACCUAAGCUGAGGCCGAAAGGCGUAGGUGAUGGACAACAGGUUGAUAUUCCUGUACUACCGAUAACCGUUUGAGAGAUGGGAUGACACAGUAGGAUAAGCUAAGCACACUGUUGGUUAUGUGUGCCCAAGCAUUGAGGCAGUCAAAGUAGGUAAAUCCGCUUUGAUAAUGCUGGGAUGUGAUGGGGAGCGAAAUUUAGUAGCGAAGUAGCUGAUUUCACACUGUCAAGAAAAGUCUCUAUCGAGGUUAAAGG